rnacentral:rRNA from 1 species
UUCCUACGGGUGGCAGCAGUGGGGAAUAUUGCACAAUGGGCGCAAGCCUGAUGCCGCCAUGCCGCGUGUAUGAAGAAGGCCUUCGGGUUGUAAAGUACUUUCAGCGGGGAGGAAGGUGCUGAGGUUAAUAACCUCAGCAAUUGACGUUACCCGCAGAAGAAGCACCGGCUAACUCCGUGCCAGCAGCCGCGGGAAUACGGAUGGUGCACGCGUUAAUCGGAGUUACUGGGCGUAAAGCGCACGCAGGCGGUCUGUCAAGUCGGAUGUGAAAUCCCAGGGCUCAACCGUGGAACUGCAUUGGAAACUGGCAGGCUAGAGUGUUGUAGAGGGGGGUAGAAUUCCAGGUGUAGCGGUGAAAUGCGUAGAGAUCUGGAGGAAUACCGGUGGCGAAGGCGGCCCCCUGGACAAAGACUGACGCUCAGGUGCGAAAGCGUGGGGAGCAAACAGGAUUAGAUACCCUGGUAGUC